GCCUGGGUGGCUCAGUUGGUUGAGCAUCUGACUUUUGAUUUUGAACUCAGGUCAUGAUCCCAGGGUCAUGGGAUCAAGCCCCACAUCAGGCU
rnacentral:tRNA from 1 species